UACGGAGGGUGCAAACGUUGCUCGGAAUCAUUGGGCGUAAAGCGCACGUAGGCGGCCCAGCAAGUCGGGCGUGAAAGCCCUCGGCUUAACCGAGGAAGUGCAUUCGAAACUACUGAGCUUGAAUACUGGAGAGGAUCGCGGAAUUCCCGGUGUAGAGGUGAAAUUCGUAGAUAUCGGGAGGAACACCAGUGGCGAAGGCGGCGAUCUGGACAGAUAUUGACGCUGAGGUGCGAAAGCGUGGGGAGCAAACAGG
rnacentral:rRNA from 1 species